CCUCCAAGGCUAAAUACUCCUGACUGACCGAUAGUGAACCAGUACCGUGAGGGAAAGGCGAAAAGAACCCCGGCGAGGGGAGUGAAAAAGAACCUGAAACCGUGUACGUACAAGCAGUGGGAGCCUCAUUUAUGGGGUGACUGCGUACCUUUUGUAUAAUGGGUCAGCGACUUAUAUUCUGUAGCAAGGUUAACCGAAUAGGGGAGCCGAAGGGAAACCGAGUCUUAACUGGGCGUUAAGUUGCAGGGUAUAGAC
rnacentral:rRNA from 1 species